CGAUGACUGUCCUGUAGGCUUCAGUGUCCACCAUCUAUGGUAUAGGAGCCCAAGCAAGCUGGAUGGAGAUUUUACUUCUGUAGAUCUCCAGACUGUACUCAGCCACAGAUGAGAGCGAGCCAGACUGUGCAGAGCCAAAGGAGCCUAAGAAGAAGGGGACAAAGGUAGCAGGAAAGAACGAUGCUCUUCAAGUACAUUUACAGUGUUGAGAGCUAAGCAAUCCUGACUAUGCUCUACGGGCCUCUUUGUACCAUGCUUUCUAUGAGCCAUGUGUUCAAAAUAAGGGGAAGAGAGGGUUAUGAAUGUGGGUUGUAAAUAAUUGCAUAGAUAAAGCAAACCCCAGUGUACAAUUGGAUGGGGUAAACGCAUGUGACCCCCACCUUGGGAAAAGCUCCAUGGUGGGUGUAGCCUGGUGAAUGCUUUUUGCCGGUCAGAAGAUAAGAUGAAGAGACAAGUUUUGGAAGUCGAGAAGACGCAACUUAGCAGAAGCUUUUUGUUGUUAUUGUUAAGGAUUUACACCUUCCAGGACAAUUAAAAGCUGAACUGAAGCGGAGCUUAUUUUCUGAAGACGGAUAAUUUGGUUAAAUCUCUUCCACUUUGAUUUCAUCUCCAGUUUCGGACGGAAAACGAAGGUUUAAAGAUAUGCCUGACCCAGAGACCCAGCUUCUCCUUACAUUUGAUGUUCCAGCUGUGAGCCAUAAUCAAAGGGAGGCAGGACUCCCAGCCUACUCCUCUUGUGAUGCAGAUGUAGAACAGCUACCUCUCCAGCACCAUGCCACCAAACUUCCCACCAUGAUGACAAUGGACUACACCUCUAAAGUGGCCCUGCUGAGAUGUGCAGCAGUACUCAGAUGGAUCACAGAAAGGGUCCUCGAGCAGCUGAUGAGACGACUCCCAUGCUCUCCUGAUCUUGGUAGAAGCUCCUGGACUAUACCAAGGAUUCUUCAUGCUCCAGGGAAGCUUUGAACAAAAGCCAAGGAAGCCAGAGUGGUACAUGACCCAGUUCUGCAGCCAGAGAAACAGCAUU
rnacentral:lncRNA from 1 species